GAGGGUAUAGCUCAGUGGCAGAGCACAUGCUUAGCAUGCACGAGGUCCUGGGUUCAACCCCAGUACCUCCA
rnacentral:tRNA from 1 species